UGACGCCUGGGCUGGAGGAAGAGGCAGGUGCUCUGGGUCUGUUCGAUGCAGAGGCUACUGGGGAUGGGGGAGAGGGUGGGAGGAGGUCCCUCUGGGGCUGGAGCCCCGCUCCCUCCCCCACGGCCCGCUCGGGACACUUGGCCCCAGCUGGGAGGGGCUCUGGUGGGGCUGCUGCAGGCGCAGGUGUGAGCCCCGGUCCGUGGCGGCCUGGGGACGUGUUGGGGGGCCCUGCCCGUCCCCCAUUAAGUCCCAAGCAUUGUGAUACAGCACAUGUCAGUGGUCACUGCAUUGAGCCACUGCUGGAUCAUGACCUGAGGCUUGAAGACAGGUCUAAGGGUCAGUCACUCAAGCAACGGUGAUGGUGCCCAACCGUGGCAGCGGCUAGAACUUCCGACGUGCAUCAUGGUGGAGCACGCUCGUGUUCCCCAACCCCUCCUCGAGGCACCCUUGUCACCAUCCUUGUCUGAUGGAGAGGAGUCCAUGGCCAAGGUCAGGCAGCUGGAAGGGGUGGAGCUGGGGCUUGAGCCCAGACAGCCGGCCAGGUCUGAAAUUGCGCGGCUGAGCGGGUCUGUGUCCUCUGAGGAAGCUUCCAGAACCAUCCUCCGGGCAUGCUGGAGAGUUCCCUACAUCCCGGGACCAGGCCGGGGAGGGCGGGCUCCAGGCCUCUCCCAGGCCCAGGGCCCUGUCCUCAGCCCUGUCCACCAAGGCCGCCCCGGGCUGGGCUGAGCACUGGCUUCCGCGGCAGUGCUGGACCGGCCCCCUUGGGUCAAGAGUCGGCCACAUCCCCCACAGGGCCUUGGGACCUGCUUUCUAUUUCAGCCCUUCCCGGCCUCCGGGCGGCCUCGUGGGACCAGCAUGCUGUGUCUGUCUCUGUGCCACAGGACUUAGAGCGUCUCUCUAGGUCCAGAUCCUCCCUGGCGUCGAGGCCACCUCUUCUGUGAAGCCUGCAUUGACUGUCUUCCCUCAGCCCCAGGGUUCUGAGAGCACUUGGGGCCUGAGUCAUUUGUCUGGAUUCCCGCAUCAACUUGGUCUCUAUCUGGAUGUUUAGCUCCCCCAGAUGAGGCCAGAAUUUUACUUGUUUCUUUCUCUCUGAUGCUCAGUAUAUGUGAAGGUAUACAGUAGAUCAAUAAAUGCAAAUGCCCACUCAUUUGAAAAAUG